UACGGAGGAUGCGAGCGUUAUCCGGAUUUAUUGGGUUUAAAGGGUACGCAGGCGGCGAGUUAAGUCAGCGGUAAAAUUUCGGGGCUCAACCCCGACAAGCCGUUGAAACUGGCUUGCUAGAGUGGGCGAGAAGUAUGCGGAAUGCGUGGUGUAGCGGUGAAAUGCAUAGAUAUCACGCAGAACUCCGAUUGCGAAGGCAGCAUACCGGCGCCCAACUGACGCUCAGGCACGAAAGCGUGGGUAUCGAACAGG
rnacentral:rRNA from 1 species